UAUCAGACCUGUGCUCCGGGAAACCUCUUCUUCAGGAUCAACCCCCAGUCUCAGGGCUCCCUCACCGAACCGUGCGGUCUGAGAGCCAGCCCGCGUCGCAGUUGUCAAAGCCAUCUUCGAAGGCAGCCUGCAGGUGCCUUGGGGCGGCGAUGGUGGCAGAGCUUAGGCGGCAGGCCUCCUGGGCCUCAGUGAAGGUCAGCGCAUAGCGGUCCCGGGCAGCCCGGUAGUGGAACACGACUCCUGUGGGAGAGACCAGGCUGCCCACGCAGUGUAACAGUGCAAGAAGGGACCACCGGGCCAGACCACUCAUGGCUCUGCCUCUUGUGGGAGAAUUCCAAAGGCUUCUCAUAUGGGCCCAGCUAGAGGAGCAGCAGGAGAAGAUUCUGAAAUGAAAAAACAUCAUCCCAUCCCGCUGACCCCCACUCCAAGAGCCCCACUCACCCUGAUCCCCAGUCACUAGGAGCAACAGUCUCAGCACCAGAAGGCUGGAGGCCCAGAC